AGUGUAAUGACUGGGUCAAAUGCGGUUCCAUUCCAAGUUUUAUGAGAAAUCUUCAUACUGCUUUCCAGAGUGGUUGUACCAAUUUGCUGCCCUACCAGCAAU
rnacentral:pre_miRNA from 1 species